AUACAGAGGGUGCGAGCGUUAAUCGGAUUUACUGGGCGUAAAGCGUGCGUAGGCGGCUUUUUAAGUCGGAUGUGAGAUCCCCGAGCUUAACUUGGGAAUUGCAUACGAUACUGGGGAGCUAGAGUAUGGGAGAGGAUGGUAGAAUUCCAGGUGUAGCGGUGAAAUGCGUAGAGAACUGGAGGAAUACCGAUGGCGAAGGCAGCCAUCUGGCCUAAUCCGGACGCUGAGGUACGAAAGCAUGGGGAGCAAACAGGAUUAGAUACCCUGGUAGUCCAUGCCGUAAACGAUGUCUACUAGCCGUUGGGGGAUUUGAUCCUUUAGUGGCGCAGCUAACGCGAUAAGUAGACCGCCUGGGGAGUACGGUCGCAAGACUAAAACUCAAAUGAAUUGACGGGG
rnacentral:rRNA from 1 species